rnacentral:rRNA from 1 species
UACGGAAGGCAGCAGUGGGGAAUAUUGCACAAUGGGCGAAAGCCUGAUGCAGCUAUGCCGCGUGUAUGAAGAAGGCCUUAGGGUUGUAAAGUACUUUCAUCGGGGAGGAAAAAACAAAACUAAUAAUUUUAUUUCUUGACGUUACCCGAAAAAGAAGCACCGGCUAACUCCGUGCCAGCAGCCGCGGUAAUACGGAGGGUGCUAGCGUUAAUCAGAAUUACUGGGCGUAAAGAGCACGUAGGUGGUUUUUUUAAGUCAGAUGUGAAAUCCCUGGGCUUAACCUAGGAACUGCAUUUUGAAACUGAAAUACUAGAGUAUCGUAGAGGGAGGUAGAAUUCUAGGUGUAGCGGUGAAAUGCGUAGAUAUCUGGAGGAAUACCUGUGGCGAAAGCGGCCUCCUAAACGAAUACUGACACUGAGGGUGCGAAAGCGUGGGGAGGCAAACAGGGAUUAGAUACC